rnacentral:lncRNA from 1 species
ACCAUUUAUGGUCAAAACAAGACUUAUUAAGGAAUCUAUUAACAGAACAAAUUGAAGGAUCUGCCAUUGACGCACAUUUCUGCAGUCCAUUGAAGGUUAACCAACCAGUCCAGGUUUUGGAGUUGGCUACUUGAUAUAGGUAGGACUAUGGUUGUGAGGCAGCACCCUUUGCUAGAUGUGGAUCCCACCAGGAUGAUCUGUGCUUUCUUCAGUCAACUUCAGGCUGGGCAUGCACACUUUCUAGAAAGAGGUGAGGGUCACGGAAGCUUCGCUUGGGUGUCGUGGCAGCCUGUAGUUUAAAGCAAUACAGAUGAGCACAUCAAACUAAUUCUUCCUGUUCUACGCUGUUUCCCUGUCAUAUUGGAUCCACUUCAACCUUAUGACAUUUCAU